GAUGAACGCUAGCUACAGGCUUAACACAUGCAAGUCGAGGGGAAACGAUAGGGAAAGCUUGCUUUUUCUAGGCGUCGACCGGCGCACGGGUGAGUAACGCGUAUCCAACCUGCCCAUCACUUGGGGAUAACCUUGCGAAAGUAAGACUAAUACCCAAUGACGUCUCUAGAAGACAUCUGAAGGAGAUUAAAGAUUUAUCGGUGAUGGAUGGGGAUGCGUCUGAUUAGCUUGUUGGCGGGGUAACGGCCCACCAAGGCGACGAUCAGUAGGGGUUCUGAGAGGAAGGUCCCCCACAUUGGAACUGGGACACGGUCCAAACUCCUACGGGAGGCAGCAGUGAGGAAUAUUGGUCAAUGGACGAGAGUCUGAACCAGCCAAGUAGCGUGCAGGAAGACGGCCCUAUGGGUUGUAACCUGCUUUUAUAAGGGAAUAAAGUGAGUCUCGUGAGACUUUUUGCAUGUACCUUAUGAAUAAGGACCGGCUAAUUCCGUGCCAGCCGCCGCCGUAA
rnacentral:rRNA from 1 species